UAUCAUUCUGUGUGUAGGCAGACAGCUGAGGAAGGUGCCCAUGCUGGAAUACAUCCUUGUACUACACUAUGGCAUAAUAAAUCUUUGCUGUGCAUUACUGGAGUCUAUAGAAGGCUGGAACCGGCUUGGUAUACAUAAGUCAAAAUCCGAAAAGUUGAAGCAUUCGGAUUGCAGUGCAUUAGAAGGCAUCUGAGGCCUUCCUAGUGUGUAUACUUCAACAUGCCUACCUCUGCAGUAUCCAUGCAAAGAGGGUCCCCCUCCGUAAGGAGGAUAUACAGCUUGCAAAGAGAAUCCGAGGCAUCGAGGAUGGACUUGAAUAAUGCUUUGUGAACAAGUUAUGUUUUAUGUAAAUUUUAUAGACUUUAAUGUUAAUGGGGAUGUUUUCUUGCAAAGUUAGGAAUUUUGGCUUUAGUGCCUCCUCCUGAAGGUAGUUACAUUGAAGAUCUGUGACACCUUGCAGAGUUUAAUGGCCUUCUUGCCUCAUGUUAUUACCCCGAAUAUUCAGUCUUAAAAUGCUCAUACUGUUAUCUGUUCAUUUUAUCUGAACAUUUAUGUAUUUUAUA